GGUUAAGCGACUAAGCGUACACGGUGGAUGCCCUGGCAGUCAGAGGCGAUGAAGGACGUGCUAAUCUGCGAUAAGCGCCGGUAAGGUGAUAUGAACCGUUAUAACCGGCGAUUUCCGAAUGGGGAAACCCAGUGUGAUUCGUCACACUAUCAUUAACUGAAUCCAUAGGUUAAUGAGGCGAACCGGGGGAACUGAAACAUCUAAGUACCCCGAGGAAAAGAAAUCAACCGAGAUUCCCCCAGUAGCGGCGAGCGAACGGGGAGGAGCCCAGAGCCUGAAUCAGCAUGUGUGUUAGUGGAAGCGUCUGGAAAGGUGCGCGAUACAGGGUGACAGCCCCGUACACAAAAGCGCAUGUGCUGUGAGCUCGAUGAGUAGGGCGGGACACGUGGUAUCCUGUCUGAAUAUGGGGGGACCAUCCUCCAAGGCUAAAUACUCCUGACUGACCGAUAGUGAACCAGUACCGUGAGGGAAAGGCGAAAAGAACCCCGGCGAGGGGAGUGAAAAAGAACCUGAAACCGUGUACGUACAAGCAGUGGGAGCACAGGUUUACCUGUGUGACUGCGUACCUUUUGUAUAAUGGGUCAGCGACUUAUAUUCUGUAGCAAGGUUAACCGUAUAGGGGAGCCGUAGGGAAACCGAGUCUUAACCGGGCGUUAAGUUGCAGGGUAUAGACCCGAAACCCGGUGAUCUAGCCAUGGGCAGGUUGAAGGUUGGGUAACACUAACUGGAGGACCGAACCGACUAAUGUUGAAAAAUUAGCGGAUGACCUGUGGCUGGGGGUGAAAGGCCAAUCAAACCGGGAGAUAGCUGGUUCUCCCCGAAAGCUAUUUAGGUAGCGCCUCGUGAAUUCAUCUCCGGGGGUAGAGCACUGUUUCGGCUAGGGGGCCAUCCCGGCUUACCAACCCGAUGCAAACUGCGAAUACCGGAGAAUGUUAUCACGGGAGACACACGGCGGGUGCUAACGUCCGUCGUGAAGAGGGAAACAACCCAGACCGCCAGCUAAGGUCCCAAAGUCAUGGUUAAGUGGGAAACGAUGUGGGAAGGCCCAGACAGCCAGGAUGUUGGCUUAGAAGCAGCCAUCAUUUAAAGAAAGCGUAAUAGCUCACUGGUCGAGUCGGCCUGCGCGGAAGAUGUAACGGGGCUAAACCAUGCACCGAAGCUGCGGCAGCGAACGUAUCACCCAAGACAACUUUACGGAGUUGACGAUUGACGGAGCGAAGCGACGUCAAAGCGUUCAUUAAAGUCGAGUUGGCUUAGGGAUACGUUCGUUGGGUAGGGGAGCGUUCUGUAAGCCUGUGAAGGUGUGUCGUGAGGCAUGCUGGAGGUAUCAGAAGUGCGAAUGCUGACAUAAGUAACGAUAAAGCGGGUGAAAAGCCCGCUCGCCGGAAGACCAAGGGUUCCUGUCCAACGUUAAUCGGGGCAGGGUGAGUCGACCCCUAAGGCGAGGCCGAAAGGCGUAGUCGAUGGGAAACGGGUUAAUAUUCCCGUACUUGGUGUUACUGCGAAGGGGGGACGGAGAAGGCUAUGUUGGCCGGGCGACGGUUGUCCCGGUUUAAGCGUGUAGGUGUGUGUUCCAGGUAAAUCCGGUUCACUUUAACACUGAGGCGUGACGACGAGGCACUACGGUGCUGAAGCAACAAAUGCCCUGCUUCCAGGAAAAGCCUCUAAGCAUCAGGUAACAUCAAAUCGUACCCCAAACCGACACAGGUGGUCAGGUAGAGAAUACCAAGGCGCUUGAGAGAACUCGGGUGAAGGAACUAGGCAAAAUGGUGCCGUAACUUCGGGAGAAGGCACGCUGACACGUAGGUGAAGUGAUUUACUCAUGGAGCUGAAGUCAGUCGAAGAUACCAGCUGGCUGCAACUGUUUAUUAAAAACACAGCACUGUGCAAACACGAAAGUGGACGUAUACGGUGUGACGCCUGCCCGGUGCCGGAAGGUUAAUUGAUGGGGUCAGCGCAAGCGAAGCUCCUGAUCGAAGCCCCGGUAAACGGCGGCCGUAACUAUAACGGUCCUAAGGUAGCGAAAUUCCUUGUCGGGUAAGUUCCGACCUGCACGAAUGGCGUAAUGAUGGCCAGGCUGUCUCCACCCGAGACUCAGUGAAAUUGAACUCGCUGUGAAGAUGCAGUGUACCCGCGGCAAGACGGAAAGACCCCGUGAACCUUUACUAUAGCUUGACACUGAACAUUGAGCCUUGAUGUGUAGGAUAGGUGGGAGGCUUUGAAGUGUGGACGCCAGUCUGCAUGGAGCCGACCUUGAAAUACCACCCUUUAAUGUUUGAUGUUCUAACGUGGACCCGUAAUCCGGGUUGCGGACAGUGUCUGGUGGGUAGUUUGACUGGGGCGGUCUCCUCCUAAAGAGUAACGGAGGAGCACGAAGGUUGGCUAAUCCUGGUCGGACAUCAGGAGGUUAGUGCAAUGGCAUAAGCCAGCUUGACUGCGAGCGUGACGGCGCGAGCAGGUGCGAAAGCAGGUCAUAGUGAUCCGGUGGUUCUGAAUGGAAGGGCCAUCGCUCAACGGAUAAAAGGUACUCCGGGGAUAACAGGCUGAUACCGCCCAAGAGUUCAUAUCGACGGCGGUGUUUGGCACCUCGAUGUCGGCUCAUCACAUCCUGGGGCUGAAGUAGGUCCCAAGGGUAUGGCUGUUCGCCAUUUAAAGUGGUACGCGAGCUGGGUUUAGAACGUCGUGAGACAGUUCGGUCCCUAUCUGCCGUGGGCGCUGGAGAACUGAGGGGGGCUGCUCCUAGUACGAGAGGACCGGAGUGGACGCAUCACUGGUGUUCGGGUUGUCAUGCCAAUGGCACUGCCCGGUAGCUAAAUGCGGAAGAGAUAAGUGCUGAAAGCAUCUAAGCACGAAACUUGCCCCGAGAUGAGUUCUCCCUGAGACUUAGAGUCUCCUGAAGGAACGUUGAAGACGACGACGUUGAUAGGCCGGGUGUGUAAGCGCAGCGAUGCGUUGAGCUAACCGGUACUAAUGAACCGUGAGGCUUAACCUU
rnacentral:rRNA from 1 species